CUGAACAAAAAAUUGCAGUUUUGUCAUCAAAGACUGCAGAUAAUUUCACAGGCACUUAGUUCAUGGGUAAAAUCUGAUAUGAGCAGCCCAUUUCAAGACUUUGUGGAGCAAAUUCAGAAAACCAAAUAUUUACAAGGUUUAAUGAGUUAAUCUCACUUGGUGAAUAUGAAAAGGCAGCUUGUUAUGCAGCAAACAGUCCUAGAAGAAUUCUUCGAAACAUUGGUACAAUGAAUACAUUUAAGGAUGACCUGUUGCAGCUAUUAAUGUCAUGUCCCCAAGUUGAAUUAAUUCAGUGUCUCACUAAAGAGUUGAAUGAGAAACAACCAUCUUUAUCUUUUGGUCUUGCUAUACUUCAUCUGUUCUCUGCAGACAUGAAAAAAGUUGGCAUUAAGCUACUUCAAGAAAUCAAUAAAGGUGGGAUAGAUGCAGUAGAAAGUCUUAUGAUAAAUGAUUCCUUUUGCUCCAUAGAAAAGUGGCAAGAAGUGGCAAAUAUAUGUUCACAGAAUGGCUUUGACAAAUUAUCUAAUGACAUCACGUCUAUUCUUCGAU
rnacentral:lncRNA from 1 species